rnacentral:rRNA from 1 species
GGCCUAACACAUGCAAGUCGAGCGGUAACAGGAAAGUGCUUGCACUUUUGCUGACGAGCGGCGGACGGGUGAGUAAUGUCUGGGGAUCUGCCCGAGGGCGGGGGAUAACCACUGGAAACGGUGGCUAAUACCGCAUAAUGUCGCNAGACCAAAGUGGGGGACCUGAAAGGGCCUCACGCCCGCGGAUGAACCCAGAUGGGAUUAGCUAGUCGGUAGGGUAAUGGCCUACCGAGGCGACGAUCCCUAGCUGGUCUGAGAGGAUGACCAGCCACACUGGGACUGAGACACGGCCCAGACUCCUACGGGAGGCAGCAGUGGGGAAUAUUGCACAAUGGGCGCAAGCCUGAUGCAGCCAUGCCGCGUGUAUGAAGAAGGCCUUCGGGUUGUAAAGUACUUUCAGCGGGGAGGAAGGGUUUAGCCUGAACAGGGUUGAAUUUUGACGUUACCCGCAGAAGAAGCACCGGCUAAG